AAACAGACAAACCAUGGAUUUUCGUGUCCAACGUUUGACCGUCCGUCUUAUUUGAAAAAAUUAUAAAAAAAUUUUAAAAGACAAGUCAUGCAUAAAAUAUUAAUCAUGUUUUAUCAAUAUCUAACAAUAAUGAAAAUACUAAUUAUAAAAAAAUUUCAUAUAAGACGGACAGUCAAAUGUUGGACACGGAAACCCAAUGUUUGUCUUUUU
rfam:Oryza nivara chromosome 7, whole genome shotgun sequence.